UACGGGGGGGGCAAGCGUUGCUCGGAAUUACUGGGCGUAAAGGGCGCGUAGGCGGUUUGCUAAGUUGAAUGUGAAAACUCUGGGCUUAACCCAGAGCCUGCAUUCAAUACUGGCAGGCUAGAGUUCUGGAGGGGAUAGCGGAAUUCCUGGUGUAGCGGUGAAAUGCGUAGAUAUCAGGAGGAACACCGGUGGCGAAGGCGCUCAUCUGGCCCAAUACUGACGCUGAGGCGCGAAAGCUAGGGGAGCAAACGGG
rnacentral:rRNA from 1 species